GGGAAUCACAAUCAGCCAAUCACUGGAUAAACGAAAGGGAGAAAGACUGAAAAAUUGCUCUUUGAACUGACAUGAAGCUCUAUUUGACUAUGCGCUUAUAAAUCUGUUGAUUGUUUUAUUUGUUGUCAUUGAAAAUAUGUUUGGACUGCUGAUUAGUCAUUGGGGUAGAUAUUAGUAACAGUGACUGCUGAUUCGUAUAGUUUUGGGUCACCAGAAUUUGAUGGUAUUUCAGUUGGUCAAGAGAAUUUGUUUACGAUUUAUUGGUCAUUUUAGACUUUUAGUAAGUGAUACUUGAUCAUCAUGAGAUAAAGGAUUAAUCAGUCUAACAGAGAUAUUUGUCCAAAAAAAAGAGUCCAGCAGAGAUAUUCUAACUUUUUUCUCCAAUCUGACUCUCUUAGGAGAAUUACUUUAUUGGUUCCCAUGGCAGG
rnacentral:lncRNA from 1 species